rnacentral:misc_RNA from 1 species
GCAAACUUGGUCAUUUAGAGGAAGUAAAAGUCGUAACAAGGUUUCCGUAGGUGAACCUGCGGAAGGAUCAUUCAUAAUAAAAGUGAAUUUUAUGGCACUUUUAAAACAAUCCAUAUCCACCUUAUAUACAAUGUUUUUUUUUUAUAAUAAACUCAUUUUUUUAACAUAUUUUGUCUGAAAUAUUUUUUAUGAAUUACUUAAUUCUAAAAUAUAACUUUCAACAACGGAUCUCUUGGCUCUUGCAUCGAUGAAGAACGCAGC